rnacentral:tRNA from 1 species
GGGCCCUAGCUCAGUUGUAGAGCAUCUGCUUUGCAUGCAGAAGGUCGCAAGUUCAAUCCCUGACAUCUCCA